rnacentral:lncRNA from 1 species
CUCAGUGGUAGAGUGCUUGCCUAGCAAGCACAAGGCCCUGGGUUCGGUCCCCAGCUCCAAAAAACAAAACAAGAGAUGGCCUGGAAGGGAGCCAGCAGCCAUUCAGCCUGUAGGAUUAUAGGGAGCCGGGAAAGGAAACAAAACAAACUGGUUCCUUCUGGUCAAGAGGAUGAAAUCUUUAAACUAUCAUAUGUAAAAGAAUUAAUUUAGUGGUCAGGCCAAAGGAUUACCCUGUCAGCAAGACAGGGCCACUCCUAGGAAGACAGGCUCAUUUUAAGCUGUGCUAAAGGAUCAGUGGAAUAAUCGGAUCCUUUAAUGAGAUACUAUAUUUUUCCUUCCCAGAAUUCCUGGCCCCCCAGCACAGUUCCUACAAGCUGCCAUGAGACACAGAAGGAGUUUUUGUUUUGCCUUUGACAAGGGUCUCACUACACAGAUCUGCCUCAACUUCACACAGGUCCGACUGCUUCUACCUCCCCGAAAGUGGUUAAUCAGCAGCGAACUCCGCCCUGGGCUACAAAUGUCUCUGUGGACAAGACCCUUUGAGGAAAACAGCAGGAAGUUCCUUUGUCCAGCCCUCCCAGGACAAGGAGAAAAUCCUGUUUUCACAAGCUCACAGGACUGUUGAGGGCCAGUGGGCGAAGACACAGGCAGCCAGACCCAGCCUGGCCCCCUGCUCCAUGCCCAGGACCCACGUGGCAGAGCCAAGAAGCAUCAGCAAGUGGUCCACACGAACACCAUGACACCUGUGGCCCCCUGCAUCCCAUCCACAUGAACAUCAGGACAUCUGUGGCCCCCUGCAUCCCAUCCACAUGAACAUCAUGACACCUGUGGCCCCCUGCAUCCCAUCAGCAUGAACACCAUGACACCUGUGGCCCCCUGCAUCCCAUAAAUAUAAUGUUAAAGAUGAGUUACUUCUCUACACUCAAGCCCUUCCCUUUACUUAAGGGUGCUCUCUGAGGAACCGCCUUUCUAGCUGUCUGAGCCCAAUUAUUUUCCAGCCCAAUUAUCUUCAAGUGGUAACUCCUCUGGCUGCAACUCACAGACUUCAGUGAGGUACAGUGAAAGCCAGGACACUCCUGUGAGGCCUGACUCUAUAAUCCAAGGGAGAAGAUGAUCAAAUGUGGGCAACUACCACAGCCAUUUGUGUGUUUGUGGUGUCAGGUUUCAACCCCAGGCCUCUAGGCAAG